CCUUCUCCUCGACUUUGUUGUUCCUUUCCUUCCAUCGUCAAUGUGUUGGUGGCAUCUUGCAGCAACCUUGGGCAGAGGCAGCGGACGGCGACGGCGGAUGGACGGUGACCGGCAACGGCCGACGGACGGCCACUGGACGGCGACGGAUGACGGCGGCAAUGUUUAGGGAUGCACCGUUACUAUCGCGUACAGCGACGCAGCUCAGGAACCCAAAGACAAGGGGAGUGAGGGAGCUUUCGGGCCUUGCUUCGGACGGUGGGAUGAACCUCUCGCUCACCCGAAUACGGACACAAUGGGAUUGAUCCUAAACGGAUGAAUCUGCACCCAAUCAGGAUCCAUAUUGCAGCUUAAUAGGUAUUCCACGUUGAGAGAUCUACCAGUUGAGUUGAUGUGCUGUCCCGAAUUUGAAAUCUGUUUUCAGAAAUGGAAUAAAAUCAAAGAAAUAGCUGGAUUGAGAGUGACCACAUUAGUCCGGUAAAUCUGGCUCCAAACAGACAAUUGCACCCAAGAACCCGCAAAAACAUCAGAUUCCAAUCAGAUCCAUAUUUUUGUUUUUUUCUUGUUUUGCAAAGAAGAACAUUUUGAUGAGCCCAAAUGUUGGUAUCUUAGGCUCCUGUGAUCAAAACUCGAACUAAUAAUGAUGCAUCCCAGAACAAGCACCAAUGCUCGAGCCACAUUGAGGUCGUUAUUUUGUCAA